rnacentral:rRNA from 1 species
GACGAACGCUGGCGGCGUGCUUAACACAUGCAAGUCGAACGGCAACGUGCUGUUGCUGUGGGGUGCUCGAGUGGCGAACGAGUGAGUAACACGUGAGUAGCCUCGUCUCGACUUUGGGAUAACUACAGGAAACAGGGGAUACUACUGCAUAGGAGCUCCUGCUGCAGGGUGGGGGUUGGAUAGUUUCGGCGGUCGGGGAUGGACGCGGGGCUUAUCAGCUCGUGGGUGGGGUAGUGGCUUACCCAGGCUUUGCCGGGUAGCCCGCCUGAGAGGGUGACCGGCCACAAUGGGACUGAGAGAGGGACCAGAGUGCAACGGGAGGCAGCAGUGGCGAGUAUUGCACAAUGGGCGGAAGCCUGAUGAAGCAGCGCCGGGGGCGGGAUGCCGGCCUGCGGGGUGUAAACCGGUUUCGCCUGUGACGAAGCGUGAGUGACGGUACUGGGAAAAGAAGCACCGGCUAACUACGUG